AUUGAACGCUGGCGGCAUGCUUUACACAUGCAAGUCGAACGGCAGCGCGGGCUUUGGCCUGGCGGCGAGUGGCGAACGGGUGAGUAAUACAUCGGAACGUGCCCAGUAGUGGGGGAUAGCUCGGCGAAAGCCGGAUUAAUACCGCAUACGACCUGAGGGUGAAAGCGGGGGCUCUUCGGACCUCGCGCUAUUGGAGCGGCCGCUGGCAGAUUAGCCAGUUGGUGGGGUAAAGGCCUACCAAGGCGACGAUCUGUAGCUGGUCUGAGAGGACGACCAGCCACACUGGGACUGAGACACGGCCCAGACUCCUACGGGAGGCAGCAGUGGGGAAUUUUGGACAAUGGGCGAAAGCCUGAUCCAGCAAUGCCGCGUGUGUGAUGAAGGCCUUCGGGUUGUAAAGCACUUUUGGCGGGAACGAAAAGGACUGUGCCAAUACCACGGUUCGAUGACGGUACCCGCAGAAUAAGCACCGGCUAACUACGUG
rnacentral:rRNA from 1 species